GCCAACGUCUCAAGCCAACGUCACAUUGACAUCAAAUACUGAUGUUUUGUCGUCAGGUAUGGCAACCUAAAUUCAACAUCUAGUAGACGUCAUUAUGGUAACGUCCAAUCAACGUCAAGUUAUAACAUCAUUUGAUGUUGAUCUGUAGUUAGUUUUAGGUUGUGGCAUUAACUAACCAAAAUCCAACGUCGAGCCAACGUCUCAAGCCAACGUCACAUUGACAUCAAAAACUUAUGUUUUGUCGUCAGGUAUGGCAACCAUAAUCCAACGUUUUCUAGACGUCAUAAUGGCAACAUCCAC
ensembl:lncRNA